CCUACGGGAGGCAGCAGUGGGGAAUUUUGGACAAUGGGCGAAAGCCUGAUCCAGCCAUUCCGCGUGAGUGAAGAAGGCCUUCGGGUUGUAAAGCUCUUUCGCAAGGGAAGAAAACUUAGAUACUAAUAUUAUCUGAGGUUGACGGUACCUUGAUAAGAAGCACCGGCUAACUACGUGCCAGCAGCCGCGGUAAUACGUAGGGUGCGAGCGUUAAUCGGAAUUACUGGGCGUAAAGCGUGCGCAGGCGGUUUUGUAAGUCAGAUGUGAAAUCCCCGAGCUCAACUUGGGAACUGCGUUUGAAACUACAAGACUAGAAUAUGUCAGAGGGGGGUAGAAUUCCACGUGUAGCAGUGAAAUGCGUAGAGAUGUGGAGGAAUACCAAUGGCGAAGGCAGCCCCCUGGGAUAAUAUUGACGCUCAUGCACGAAAGCGUGGGGAGCAAACAGGAUUAGAUACCCUGGUAGUCCACGCCCUAAACGAUGUCUACUAGUUGUUGGUGGAGUAAAAUCCAUGAGUAACGCAGCUAACGCGUGAAGUAGACCGCCUGGGGAGUACGGUCGCAAGAUUAAAAACUUAAAGGAAAUUGACGG
rnacentral:rRNA from 1 species